ensembl:lncRNA
AUGGAUAGAAGAAACAAUGUGAGAGGACGAGUGCGUAUGCGAGGUGGGCGACGAGGAGGAGGGCAAGAAAGAGGAGGAGGAGGAGGAGGAGGAGGAGGAGGAGGGCAAGAAAGAGGAGGAGGAGGAGGAGGAGGAGGAGGAGGAGGGCAAGAAAGAGGAAGAGGAAGAGGAGGAGGAGGAGGAGGAGGAGGAGGGCGAGGAAGAGGAAGAGGAGGAGGAGGACAAAGAGGAAGAGGAAGACAAAGAGUGGAAAUAUCUGAUGAAAUUCGAGCAACAGUCAUAGACCAUGUUCUUGUCCAUGGACUGACAAUGAGGGAAGCAGGACUUAGAGUGCAACCCAAUUUGAGCCGAUUUUCUGUGUCCACCAUAGUAAGGACAUUCAGAGAAGAGAACAGAAUUGCAAGGCUGCCACAUGCAGGUGGAAGGACACUUAUAUUCACUCGGGAGCAAGAGGCCAUUAUAGUGGGCAUGGUCCUUCAAGAUAAUCUAAUACGACUCAGAGAAAUCCAGGAACGAGUGAUACAAGACAACACACACUUCCAGGGAAUCGACAGUGUGAGCAUUUCCACAAUUGACCGUGUCCUCCAUCGAAACAGGAUGCGAAUGAAACAAGUAUACAGAGUACCUUUUGAGCGCAACUCACCAAGGGUGAAAGAACUGCGAGCUCAGUAUGUGCAAACAAUAUUUGACUUGGAAUCCUUGGACAGACCCCAUGAGUUCAUCUUUGUCGAUGAAGCAGGCUUCAAUCUAACGAAGAGGAGAAGGAGAGGCCGAAACAUUAUUGGACAGCGGGCCAUUGUUGAAGUCCCUGGUCAACGAGGUGGCAAUGUCACAAUCUGUGCUGCUAUCAGCAACCAUGGUGUUCUGCAUCACCAUGUUACACUCGGGCCAUAUAAUACCCAGCUUCUUCUAAGAUUUGUUGCAAAUCUAAGAGAUAUUUUAUUUGAGCAGCAGGUUCAAGAGCAGCAGGGUCAAGAGCUAAAUGACAAUCCCAUUCCCACCUAUGUGAUAGUGUGGGACAAUGUCAGUUUUCACCGAGCUGCUCAGGUAAGGGAAUGGUUUAACAUCAAUGGGCAGUUUAUGAACCUGUACCUCCCUCCAUACUCGCCUUUCCUGAAUCCGAUUGAGGAGUUUUUCUCCUCUUGGAGAUGGAAAGUUUAUGAUAGACAACCCUACACAAGAGUAAAUCUGCUGCAAGCCAUGGAUUUAGCCUGUGGUGAUAUAGGUGAGGAAUCAUGUCAGGGCUGGAUACGGCACACAAGAGGCUUCUUCCCCGUUGCCUCAGGAGGGACAAUAUUGCUUGUGACGUCGAUGAAGUGCUCUGGCCUGACCCAGCCCAAAGACAAGAAGCACAUUGAUCAUCACAUGUUUACUCCUUUGAUUUUAUAUUACAGUACAUUGUAGGCUGUAUACUGUACAAUAAACAAAUUGUUUGGCCCUGAACAUUGUGCUUUCCAUUUGUGAACAGUACUGACUGCUCAAUAGAUUAUGAAUGGUUGCAGGUUCAUAUCAACAAAUAACAAUAAUUACACUAUCACAGAGACCAAGCACAAGUUUAUGAGAUGCAGGGUACAGUACUGUAAAAAUAGGGGUAGAAGGAGGAAGAACCAAAAAAAAAAACAUGCAAAGAGCAAAGCAGAGUAGUAAUUUCUGAUCAAUUUUGAGCUACUAUGAUAGAACAUGUUUUCGUUCAUCAAAAGACAAAUGACGGAAUAAUAUGAACUUUGUUUUGAGAUUAAAAAUUUACUUCUCCCUGAGAACUAUGUUUUGAACAAUGUAUUUUCUAUUUGUUGGUGUAUUGUUUACUGACUGCUUGAUAGUGUAUAUCAUUUUGAUCACUUUGUUUAUGAUUUGAGAGCAGUGUUUGAUUUUGAACACAGGUAAAACUGUUUUGAGGCGAAAGUUUCAUUUUGCAAGAGGAGUCAGAGGUUUUGUAAAUAGUGCUUGAAGAUGAGGUUUUGUGUUCAAUGUUUUCAGAAAAUGGAGCAAGGUUUCAGAAAUUGUGUUUUAGCAAUUGAGAAAAACUGUAUUACUGGUUUUUGGUUUUGGUUUUUGUAGUAUUGUUUUGAAUUUAUCUCACCAGGAUGUAAGACUAUGUUGUAGUGUGUGUGUGUUUUGAGGGCUUGUGUGAGAUGUCUGAGGGCAAAGUUUUUUUUCAGCAAGAGUGAAUGGUUUUGAGUGUAGAGCUUCAUUUUGAACUGAAAAUAGGUUGUUAGGGUAAUUGGGUGAGACGUUAUGGAUUUGUGUUUACUGUUUUGAGAAUAUGAGGCAUAGUUUCAAGAAAUGUGUUUAAGCAAUCGAGAAAAACUGUAAAAGAAGAGAGUGGUGUGUUUUAUAAGUUCAAUAAACUUAAAUGUUGAAUACUUUUUUUAAAUGAAUGAAUCGCUUUAGUAACAUGAUGUCAUAUAUAAUUAUUUAUUUCCAUAUUCUUUAACCCCUGGAGUCGGAGUGGGAUUUGGGGCACUGGAGAUAUUUUGGCAUGCCCUGACAUUUGUGUUCCCCUUCAGGAACUCGAGCUGCAUCUGAAAACGCUAUGGGAACGCCCUUCAGCGUGACCAGCUCUGAAUAACAUGUGUAAUCAGUCCAAUGAAUGGGCGUGACGUCAUAGGCGGGUGACGUAGUGACCAGGAAGCUAUAAAAGCACGUGAGGUGAAACGAGCAUCAGAUUUCUGUCAUUCAGUGAAGCUCUGUGUGUGUGUCAGUAACCAUUACAUGUCUGUCAGUCUUAUUUACUGUUGAUUGUUAUACAAAAGUUGCACAACCACAACAUGGCUAAAAAGGCUGAUAGCAAGACAAAACAUUUGGGCAAAGUAGAUCGCAUUUCAAGCUGUGUGUUCCUCCCUGCUCACGCUACAUCACGAGCGAGGAUACACACAGUUUGUGCGUGGUCUGCUUGGGAGUGGUUCUCGAGGGAGCUGACUGUCCACAUUGUGCGCGUCUUCCCCUGUGACACUUCGCUCUUGGAGGGCUCUCACGGUGCUGGCCCCGCUUCCGCCGAGGCAGAGCGGCAGCUGCACUCGUGGGGUUCGCAGUUGGAUCUGGUGGAGGGAAUGCAGACGGGCGAGUCCCUAUCUUCUUCCUCACCUGCCAGAUCCAGCGCCCGCUCUCUGGGAUCGGAAGGACGCUUCGGCGCUACUCCCCCCUGGGAAGCGGACGCGACGCUCCUCCUAUCUGCCUCUGAGGAGGUGGAUGUUGAGAGUGUCGAUGAUUUGCCCUCUCGGUCACCACGGUGUGAGGAGUUGUUGGAGGUGGUAACUCACGCUGAGGCCAAAUUAAACAUUGAUUGGCCCAACGAGAAAAAAGCCUAACCGCAGAAGAGCAAAUUAGAUGAACGGUUUUUAUGAUCUCGGCCAACACCUCCACGCCGGAGCCUGCCUUUUUCCCCAAUCUCCACACUGAGGUGUCGAGAUCGUGGGCGAAACCAUUCUCGGCCCGUUUAUUUGUCCCCGCCUCUAAUUAUAAUGGAAAUGUGGCAGAGUUAGAUGAGCAUGGUUACAGAUCAAUGCCCUGGGUAGAACAGACGCUCGCAAGCUAUCUGUCUCCCGAUGCGGCAUUAUCAUUAAAGGCUCCGGUCUUGCCCUCCAAGCCGCUGCGAACUACUUCAGCGCUGGUUGGCAAGGGGUACGCGGCAGCAGGUCAGGCUGAUGCAUGUCUGCAUACAAUGGCUGUGUUACUGGCAUACCAGGCUGAUCUGCUAAAAGAGCUAGAUGAAGGCGAGGAAGUUAUAGAGGAAAAUAUUUCUGAGCUGAGGAAAACUGCUGAUUUAGCCCUCCGCGGCACCAAGGAGACCGCCCGCGUGAUUGGCAGUCCAUGGCAGUUCUGGUGGCAGCAGAAAGACAUCUAUGGUUGACCCUGUUGGAUUUAAAAGAGAAAGACAGGGUCUUCC